rnacentral:tRNA from 3 species
GGGCCUGUAGCGCAGUGGUCGACGCGCCCUCCUGAACGGAGGAGGGAGAACGCCGGUUCGAAUCCGGCCGGUCCCG